ACAGAAGCUCUCUACCUGGACGCUUUAACCGAGUCGACUACCUCUUCGGCGGCUCACUCCGGCAGCACUGUUACGGAAGACGAAGUAGCCGAUCGUCGAGGACCUACUAAGUCAUAUGGCUUCCUCUUUUUCCACUGCCACGUCAACAUGGCCACGGCGCAUGUGUGCUUGUGGCUAUGGCCAUUGUCUUGUGAAGGUAUCCAGAUCUCACAAAAAUCCUGGGCGUGCAUAUUAUGUUUGCCCCUGGCCUAUGCAAUGUGAUAAUUGGAUUGGUUGGUGUGACGAAACAGGGACACGGAUACCCGACCAUGACUCUGGGUCUACCGAUGUCAUGCAGUUACGGGCUGAUGUCGUGAACAUUUUCAAUACUUUGCGUGUAAUGAAAACGGUGAUUUGUGUGUUGUGCAUCAUGGUCAUCAUCUUAUUAUUGCGAAUGUAAACCCCGUAAAAACCCCUUCAAUAAUAUGUAUACAUUUGUUAGUGUCUUGAAGAAGUACUAUGUUGAACAAGUAAAUGCAUUGUCCUCGUUUGUAUGUAAACGCUACACGUUGUUAUUAAUUAUCCUACUACUUUUUAUAAAACUGUGGAAGUUGUCUUGUACAUAUUGUUCAUAGUUUAUGUCUGAAAGGUAUUCAUCAACUGCGUUCUAAUGUAUACAAUAUGUCCUCUCACAUUAGUGUAAUGGCUGCAACACGGUCGUCCCCUCGCACCCCGUUUAAGAAUAAAGGGGUUGGCCCAUCAAGUACCGAAAGCAUUGUUA